ensembl:lncRNA uncharacterized LOC108923053
CUGGUAAACACUGGGCGACUUCUGGGUGCUCGGUUUUUUCCAGACAAUUUUGCUUUUACCAAACAUAUUUCCCGUCCUUUGCUGUAUUUUACAGUAAACGUUGGGAGGGGGUGCUUCCGUCAGCCGGCAUUGAUAAAAACCUCGGAUUCCGCUACGAUUCGGUCCCUAGAGCCACCUUUCGGUCCAAGAAGAUGCGGUGAAUCGGUGCUGCGGGACGGCCAGUGGUAGCAAAGGUACAAGUCCAAAGAAAAUCCGUGAGGACAACUGUCACGGUGAUCCCGACUCAGGCUGGGUACCGAACCAAUGAGCAGAUGCAAGGAGGAAAAACUAUAUAAAGAACCCAGUUCCGGAAUGAUCCGAGUGACCACAGGUGCAGAUGUGUCACACACGGGUGGAUGCAAUCGUCUACCUUCGUCUGCGGCGAAAAUUGCAUUUUCCCAGGCUGUCAGUCACAAAUGAGCCCCAGGCCAUCAGAUCCUCUCUUGGAAGAUUUGUGGGCAUCCACCUCAGCAAGAACCAAUAAAGGCCUAA